rnacentral:rRNA from 1 species
AGCGAACGCUGGCGGCAGGCCUAACACAUGCAAGUCGAACGAAGUCUUCGGACUUAGUGGCGGACGGGUGAGUAACACGUGGGAACGUGCCUUUAGGUUCGGAAUAACUCAGGGAAACUUGUGCUAAUACCGAAUGUGCCCUUCGGGGGAAAGAUUUAUCGCCUUUAGAGCGGCCCGCGUCUGGUUAGCUAGUUGGUGAGGUAAAGGCUCACCAAGGCUACGAUCAGUAGCUGGUCUGAGAGGAUGACCAGCCACAUUGGGACUGAGACACGGCCCAAACUCCUACGGGAGGCAGCAGUGGGGAAUUUUGCGCAAUGGGCGAAAGCCUGACGCAGCCAUGCCGCGUGGAUGAUGAAGGUCUUAGGAUUGUAAAAUCCUUUCACCGGUGAAGAUAAUGACUGUAGCCGGAGAAGAAGCCCCGGCUAACUUCGUGCCAGCAGCCGCGGUAAUAC